UUAACUAUUUAAUAGUACUCGGACGACAUUAAUAUAUAGAAUUUGGGUCUCUGGCGGGCACGUACCCAGGGGUAGCGAGGGGGCUCGCGGCCCGCCAAAGCAACAAAGUGUGAGAUACCACGGGUGGGAGAUCUACCCGGUAAGGGGCAUGAACUCUGUAAUGAUCCCUCCGCAGGUUCACCUACGGAGA
rnacentral:misc_RNA from 1 species